GCUGGGCGUGGUGGUGUACGCCUGUAAUCCCAGCUACUUGGGAGGCUGAGGCAGGAGAAUUGCUUGAACCCAGGAGGUGGAGAUUGCAGUGAGCAAACAUCACACCACGGCACUCCAACCUGGGCAACACAGCAAGACUCUGUCUCAA
rnacentral:SRP_RNA from 1 species